GGGUUGAUCAUAUCAGCGUUAAUGCACCAGAUCCAAUCAGAACUCCGUAGUUAAGUGCACUUGGGUUAGAGUAGUACUAGGAUGGGUGACCUCUCAGGAAGUCCUAGUGUUGCACCCU
rnacentral:rRNA from 1 species